rnacentral:rRNA from 1 species
UACAGAGGGUGCAAGCGUUGUUCGGAUUUACUGGGCGUAAAGCGCGUGUAGGCGGUGGCGUAAGUCGGAUGUGAAAUCCCUCGGCUCAACCGAGGACGUGCAUCCGAUACUGCGUCACUUGAGUACCGGAGGGGAUGGCGGAAUUCCCGGUGUAGAGGUGAAAUUCGUAGAUAUCGGGAGGAACACCUGUGGCGAAGGCGGCCAUCUGGACGGUAACUGACGCUGAGACGCGAAAGCGUGGGUAGCAAAC